rnacentral:rRNA from 1 species
UACGUAGGGUGCAAGCGUUAGUCGGAAUUACUGGGCGUAAAGCGCGCGCAGGCGGUUCGGUAAGAAAGAUGUGAAAUCCCAGGGCUUAACCUUGGAACUGCAUUUUUAACUGUCGGGCUAGAGUAUGUCAGAGGAGGGUAGAAUUCCACGUGUAGCAGUGAAAUGCGUAGAGAUGUGGAGGAAUACCGAUGGCGAAGGCAGCCCCCUGGGAUAAUACUGACGCUCAUGCACGAAAGCGUGGGGAGCAAACAGG